rnacentral:rRNA from 1 species
UACGUAGGGUGCAAGCGUUUGUCCGGAAUUAUUGGGCGUAAAGAGCUCGUAGGCGGCUCGGUAAGUCGGAUGUGAAACCUCCAGGCUCAACCUGGAGACGCCAUCUGAUACUGCCGUGGCUUGAGUCCGGUAGAGGAGCAGGGAAUUCCUGGUGUAGCGGUGAAAUGCGCAGAUAUCAGGAGGAACACCAGCGGCGAAGGCGCUGCUCUGGGCCGGUACUGACGCUGAGGUGCGAAAGCGUGGGGAGCAAACAGG